rnacentral:rRNA from 1 species
AAACUUUCAACAACGGAUCUCUUGGCUCUGGCAUCGAUGAAGAACGCAGCGAAAUGCGAUAAGUAAUGUGAAUUGCAGAAUUCAGUGAACCAUCGAAUCUUUGAACGCACAUUGCGCCC